AUUGUAAUAGAGGCGUUAAGAGGAUGUUUAAAUACGUAAGUAGUAGGCAUUGGGUAUUUUCCAUAUGGCAAUUCCAUGAAUCAACGAUAAAAACAAUAUCAACAAUACACCUACGAUGUAUUAUCUCGUAGAAUAUACGAUAUCGAAAGCAAUGAAAUUUUCACAUUUUGCCAUUUGAUUUCGUUGUAGUGUUACAUGGUAUAAUUUAAUAACUAAUGCGAUUGUUCAAAAACUGAAAUCAAAAUUAAGUUUACAAUAAGUAUAGUUUUGUUGCAUUGAUCCACAGAAAUCCGAUGCACCAUUCAUAACACGCAGGCUUUAUAACAACUCACACACGGUUCCCAUUUUAUUCACUAGCUGCUAUCAACCGCGAACAUCAAAUCAAAAAUAUCAUGGCGCUGGCGGAUCUGUUCUCUGUACUCACAUUCAUAGAAAAAAUCGCAUUUAUACCGUCAAUUAUCUGCCUAAUGAUUCAUUUUUAUAAAUUUUUUCGAAGUGGUAAAAUAUCAUCGCAAACUUUAGCCACUAAAAAUCUCACUUUCUACUGUUUUCUUCUCUUCCCAUACCUUCUUUUAGUAUUCCGGAUACAGUUCUUUCUAUCGUCAGAGUCAGUUAUACUCUAUCAUCGUUUUGAUGCAUUAGUUUAUUACACAUUUGUAGCACACCUAUACAUGCGCCAUUCAUUAUCGUUUUUCAAACUAAUUAUGGCUCUAGAUAUACUCUUAUGUUUUCGUAAUAUUUCCCUUCAUUUGCAACGCCCACCCCCAGGUAAUCAAAACAAUAAAUUUUAUGCAUAUUGCCUUUUAGGAACAUGCAUUCCUGCGGUUUACUUAUACCUGACCCAUAAUGUGUAUACCAUUCCAUUCAGUAAGGAAGAAUUAUUGACCUUUAUCCGUAUCGCUCGUUUAAUUCCUACUGUCGGUGCAUUUUGGCACAUACGAUCUACCAGCAUCGAUAAAUCUGAGUUAUGGGUAAAGUUCUCUUUGUAUAUACGUCUUCUCAUAAUGCUCGGUGGUUUAGCUGCUCUUCUCAGUGUUUCUCAAGUGUAUCUAAAAAUUAGUCUGUAUUUCAGUGAUGACUCAUUAGACAAAAACUUAUCAAGCUUAUUAGUUAGUGAAAAUAUAGAAAUGCAACAUUUUUUCUCAGGUAUACUAGACACCUGCACUAUUCUAGAAGGUAUCAUUAUAGGAAUAUUCUUUACAUUUAAGAAAGAUACAUUUAGAUCUAGUCAUACUGCUGAUCAGGAACACACACAGGUAUCAUUUAAGGUAGGGCACAGUGUGGCAAGUGUUGAGGAGCAGGCUUAAAACAAUUUCAAUACCUACCUAUAAUACGCUACUCCAUGCAUAAUUUUUGUACUGAGAAUUGAGAGGAGGUCGCGUGCCUCUGGAUGCGUUACUAGUUCUCAUUUUAUAUUUUAAUUAUAUCAAUUAGUUUAAAUGUACCAAAAUAGUAGAAUUUACCUGCAUGCGUAAAUAUUUGUACAUCAUGAAUUAAAAUUUAAAAUCGAAUUUACUA